GUAAAUAAGACGUCGACGUGCCGGGAGGCGGCCUCAGGGCCUGACGGGAUUGUGGCGGUCCUCUUUUUCAACUCGGAAGCUGCGGCUACCUCCGGACGCUCUCAACAUGGCGACCUCUCUGGGUUCCAACACGUACAACAGGCAGAACUGGGAGGAUGCGGACUUCCCUAUUCUGUGCCAGACGUGUCUUGGAGAAAACCCAUAUAUCCGAAUGACCAAAGAAAAGUAUGGGAAGGAGUGCAAAAUCUGUGCCAGACCAUUCACAGUGUUUCGCUGGUGCCCUGGGGUCCGCAUGCGUUUCAAGAAGACUGAAGUGUGCCAAACCUGCAGUAAAUUGAAGAAUGUCUGUCAGACCUGCCUCUUGGACCUAGAGUAUGGCCUUCCCAUCCAGGUUCGUGAUGCAGGAUUGUCUUUUAAGGAUGACAUGCCAAAGUCAGAUGUCAACAAAGAGUACUACACACAGAAUAUGGAGAGAGAGAUUUCUAACUCUGAUGGAACACGGCCAGUUGGCAUGUUGGGGAAAGCCACAUCCACCAGUGACAUGCUGCUCAAACUGGCUCGGACCACACCGUACUAUAAAAGGAAUCGACCCCACAUUUGCUCUUUCUGGGUGAAAGGAGAAUGUAAGAGAGGAGAGGAGUGUCCGUACAGACAUGAGAAGCCGACAGAUCCAGAUGACCCCCUUGCUGAUCAGAACAUUAAAGACCGAUACUACGGAAUCAACGACCCUGUGGCAGAUAAACUUCUAAAGCGGGCUUCAACAAUGCCUCGUCUGGACCCGCCAGAGGACAAGACUAUCACCACGUUGUAUGUUGGUGGUCUGGGCGAUACCAUUACUGAGACAGAUCUGAGAAAUCAUUUCUACCAGUUUGGAGAGAUCCGGACGAUCACUGUUGUGCAGAGACAGCAGUGUGCUUUCAUCCAGUUUGCCACUAGGCAGGCUGCAGAAGUGGCUGCCGAGAAGUCCUUUAAUAAGUUAAUUGUCAAUGGCCGCAGGCUCAACGUGAAAUGGGGAAGGUCCCAAGCAGCCAGAGGAAAAGAAAAAGAGAAGGAUGGAACCACAGACUCCGGAAUCAAGCUGGAGCCCGUUCCAGGGCUACCAGGAGCUCUUCCUCCUCCUCCUGCUGCAGAAGAAGAAGCCUCUGCCAACUACUUCAACCUACCCCCAAGUGGUCCUCCAGCCGUGGUGAACAUUGCCCUGCCACCUCCCCCUGGUAUUGCCCCGCCCCCACCCCCAGGUUUUGGGCCACACAUGUUCCACCCAAUGGGACCACCCCCUCCUUUCAUGAGGGCUCCAGGACCAAUCCACUAUCCUUCUCAGGACCCUCAGAGGAUGGGAGCUCAUGCCGGGAAACACAGCAGCCCCUAGCGUAUUGUCACCACACUAUGGCUCUACGCAAAAGAGGGCACUUAAAAAUCCCAGGCACACAGCCAGGGGUACACUUGGCGAAAAGUAAACUUUGCCAUUCCCAGACUUCGUCUGUAAAAACAUCUCACCCACCCAGCCCUGUGAGCUCUUUCCCCAUCUGCUGGCUGAAUGCGCAGGAGGAGGAUCCCUGGAAGAUGGCAGUCACACGAUGGAAGGAGCCUGGGUUCCUCUAUCACUGCUUCAAGGAGAGCACUGUGAUAAAAGGGAUUUUUGUUACAGUAAGCCAUUGAGACUUGGGGUUUAUCUGUAACAGCAGCUAGUGUUACUCUAGUAACAGACGCAGUCAGAUCUGAUCACACACACACAAAAAAUCCAUUUUUGUUUGUACUGAGUAAUGAUGAUUUAAGCAGACUUUUGAGCCAGAUUACCUGAGUUGAAAUCCUCACUUCAGCGACCCCCAUCUGUGACCCUGGGCAAAUAACCUCUGUCUAGUUUUCAUAAUAGCUCACCUCCUAACCCUUCUCACUGCCUAUAAUAUUUUGAGCUCCUCCCCUCUUGGAGAAGGUUUGGAAGGUACAGCCUCAUGACAGUGGGACGAAGGCAGUGAUGGCCCAUGGGGCAGAGAGUGAAAUGUGACAUGUUUUGGAAGCCAAAUCAGUGAGACGUUGUGACCUGAAAUAAAUGGGGGUGAAAGAGGAGGAGUCAGGGUGAUCCUUCUCCCCUCACCACUACCCUUCCAAGUAUCUGGCUUGGUCAGCUGGUUGGCAGUAUGUCUUUGCCCAAAAUAGAGAAUGCUGCGGAGGAGAGUGGGAUUGUGGGGGAGGAAUAGGAAAAUGAAUCCAAUAUUGGAUCUGGUGAGUUGAAGGUACCUAUGAGACAGGCCUGUGGAAAUUAACCAGCCCAAAGAGAAUUCGAGCUUAAGACAGGUCAAGAUUUGGGAGUUAGCCGUGAAGUGAUGGCAUCUGAAGCCCUGGGUGUGGAAUAAAAUCCUCCAGGAUGGGGAUAUAGAACAUUAGUUCUUAAACUUCAGCGGAUCUCAGUAAGUGCCUAGGUGUUCUAUGUUGGUGAGGCAAAGACCACCCUUUGAGAAACACUAGUAGAGAAUGAGAUCACGUCUAAGAUUAGAAUAUACUGCCCUCCCCAGAGAUCCUGUAGUCUUUGUAUUUAUCCCUAACAUUUUAUUACAAAAAUUUUGUAACAUACAGGAAAGCUGAAAGGAUUUUACUGUGAACAAUCAUGUACCCACUAGCUAGACCUAAAAUUAACAUCUGGCCGUAUUUGCUUCAUCACAUAUCCAUUUCUUUAUGCAUUCGUUAAUCUAUUUUUAUGCAUUUCAGAAUAAAUUGAAGACAUCAGUACACUUCACCUUUAAACAUGUAAGCAUUUGUAUAGUUACCCAAAGUUCAAUAUUUGUUUAUGAAUUUUUAGAUAAAACUUACAUAGAUUGAAAUGCACAGUUCUUGAGUAUGCUACUCAAGACAUUUAACAGCUGUAUACACCUAUCUGGCCCAAAGCCCUGCCAAGAUUUAGAACAUUGCUAUCCUCCAGAAAAUUUCCCCCUGCUCUUCCCAGUCAAUACCCAUUUCCCGCCAGUCUCCAAAGGCAACUACUAUUCUGAUUUUUUCCGCCAUAGAUUAUUUUACUUAUUUUAAAACUUAAUAUAAAUGGAAUCAUGCCGCAGAACUCUUUGUGUUUGGCUUCUUUACAGCAACAUGAUGCUUUGGAGAAUCAGCCAUGAUAUUAAAUAUAAUUUCCUCCAUUUUAUUGUUGAGUUAGCAUUCCAGUGUAUGACUAUACCCUCACUUACCUAUGCACUUUUUGCUAUUAUGACUUAAAACUGCUGAAAACAUCCUUUUACACAUUUUUUUCGUGAAUAUGUUUUUAUUUUGAAUAAAUAUUUUGGAAUGCAAUUACUGGGUCAUGAGGCAGGUGCCUGUUUAGUUUUAAAAGUAACUGUUGGACCUUUUUCCAAACUGGCUGUACCAUUUUACAUUUCCACCAGCAAUGCAUAAAAGUUGUUCUGCAACACCAUGAACAUUUGGUGUAAACAGUCUUUUGAAUUUUAGCCAUUCUGGUGGUCAUAUAUAUAGUAGUAUUUCAUUGUGUUUUUAAUUUGCACUCCUAUUAUGACAAAUAUGUUGAGAACCUUUUCUAAUGCUUAUGGUCAUUUAUUUAUCUUUUGUGAAGUAUCUGCUCAAAUAUUUUGGCCAUUUUUACUGGGUAUCUUUUUAUUAACUAGUUACAGGAGUUUUUUUUUUUUUUUAAUAUGUCCUAGAAAUUAGUUCUUUGUCAGAUAUAUGUUUACAAAUAUUUUCUCCGAGUCUGUGGCCUGCCUAUUAUCUUCUCUAAUGAUGCCUUUUGACGAGCAGAGGUUUUUCAUUUUACUGAAGCCUAAUUUAUUGUCUAGUAGACCAAAAUCUGUGUUAGUUUGCCAGAGCUGCCAUAACAAAGUAUUGCAAACUGGGUGGCUUAAACAGCUGACAUUUAUUGUCUCACCUUUCUGGAGGUUGAUGCCAAGGCUGAGGUGUUGCCAAGGUUAAUUCUUUUCCAGACAGUGAGAAUCUGUUCCAUGCUUCUCUCCUAGCUUCCUGCGUUUGCUGGCAGUCUUUGCCAUUCCUUGGCUUGUAGAAAUAUCACCCUGACCUCUGCCUUCAUCUUCACACCAUGUUGUCCCUGUGUGCAUAACUGUCCAAACUCCCCCUAAUUAUAAGGACACCAGUCACAUUGGAUUAGGGCCCACCCUAAUGACUUCAUUUAUUGUUGAAAAGAUUUUCCUUCUUUAGGUCUUUUGUAUUUCCACAUCAACUUUUAAAUCAAUUUGUCGAUUUCUACAAAAACACAGGACUAUGAUUGGGAUUGUGUUGAAUCUAUAGAUCAAUUUGGGGAAAAUAUUGAGCCUGCCAGUCUAUGGGCAUGGUAUAGUUAAUUAAGUUUUCUUUAAUUACUGUCAGCAGUGUUUUGUACUUUCAGUGUACAGGGCUUGCACGACCUUAGUUACAUUUAUAACUAAAAAUUUUGCGAUUUGUUGCUAUUGUAAAUGGACUUUCAAAAAAUUUGUUUUCCAGUUGUUGCAGCUAAUAUAAGUCAAUAGGUUUUAUUUUUGUAUAUCAGCCCUGCAUCCUGUGACCCUGCUGACUUCACUCAGGGCUUCUAGCAGUUCUUUUGUAGAUUCCUGUGAUGAUCUACAUAAAUCACAUCAUUUGGGAAUAACCAUUUUACUUAUUUAUUUCCAAUCUUCAUGCCUUUUCUUCUUUUUGUGGCUCUACUGAACUGGCUAGGACCCUGAGUAAAAUAUUAAAUAGAACUGGUGAGAGUAGACAUCUUUGUCUUUUUCCCACUUUUCAGAGUAUAUAGUAUUCAGUAUUUUACCCUUAAGUACUUAAUUAACUAUAGAUUUUUUUUGUAGCUGCCUUUUAUCAGAUAGAAUUUACCUUCCAAAUUUUUCUGAGUUUUCGCCAUAAAUUUGUGUUGAAUUUUGCCAGUGCUUCUUCUGUGUCCUAUGGUUUUCUCUUUUACUAUGUUAAUGUAGUGAAUUACACUGAUUGAUUUUUAAAUUGUUAAACCAAGCUUGUAUUCCUGGGAUUCACCUAACCUAGCCAUAAUGUAUUUUAUUUUUAUAUAUUUAUUUAAAUUUUUUAGUUUUGUAUUUUCCAGUUUUUUUGAGCUAUAACUGACAUAUAACAUUGUAUUAGUUUAAGGUGUACAACAUAAUGAUUUGAUAUAUGUACAUAUUAUGACAUGCUUACCAAAAUAAAUUUAGUUAACAUCUAUCACCUUACAUAGUUAGAUUUCCUUUUCUUGUGAUGAGAACUUUUAAGAUCUACUCUCAGCAACUUUCAAAUUUAUAGCACAGUAUUGUUAACUAUGGUCACUAUGCUGUAUAUUACAUCCCCAGGACUUAUCUUGCAACUAGGAAGUUUGUACCUUUUGACCACCUUGACCCAUUUAAAGCCAUAUAACACAAUACAGUCAUAUAUUUAUCUACAAACCAUAUAUUGACAUAUUUAUAAAUUUAAGUAUAUAACUUAUUUUUUGUGUCUGUGUUCAUAUGAGAUAUGGUGUUGAAUUUUCUUCUCUGUAACAUCAAUUUUCUCCUAGCUUUAUAAAAUAUAUUUGGAAAUGUUACCUCUUCCUUUAUAUUCUGAAAGAGUUUGUGUAACAUUGCUAUUAUUUUUUCCUUACAUGUUUGAUAAAAUUUGCCAGUGAA